rnacentral:tRNA from 1 species
CGGAGCGUGGCGGAACCGGCAGGCGCGCGUGCCCCAGGAGCACGUGGCCCAUGGCCGUGCGGGUUCGAGUCCCGCAGCUCCGACCA